GAUGAACGCUGGCGGCGUGCCUAAUACAUGCCAGUCGAGCGAACAGAUGAGGAGCUUGCUCCUCUGACGUUAGCGGCGGACGGGUGAGUAACACGUGGAUAACCUACCUAUAAGACUGGGAUAACUUCGGGAAACCGGAGCUAAUACCGGAUAAUAUAUUGAACCGCAUGGUUCAAUAGUGAAAGACGGGUUUGCUGUCACUUAUAGAUGUAUCCGCGCCUCAUUAGCUAGUUGGUAAGGUAACGGCUUACCAAGGCAACGAUGCGUAGCCGACCUGAGAGGGUGAUGGGCCACACUGGAACUGAGACACGGUACAGAGUCCUAGGGGAGGCAGCGGUAGGGAAUCUUCGGAAAAGGGCGAAAGCCUGACGGAGCAACGGCGCGUGAGUGAUGAAGGUCUUCGGAUCGUAAAACUCUGUUCUUAGGGAAGACCAAAUGUGUAAGUAACUAUGCACGUCUUGACGGUACCUAAUAAGAAAGCAACGGCUAACUACGUG
rnacentral:rRNA from 1 species